rfam:Mortierella elongata AG-77 unplaced genomic scaffold K457scaffold_62, whole genome shotgun sequence.
AUUGGAACCAUUUUUGCACCCACUGUAGUACGUGAGAAACUGUUCAUUCGGAUAGUUGGUAUUUGGGCCCGCCUGAGCAGGCAAUGGUCCGAAGCUGUCAUCCGUUGAGUUGUGGCUGAACGCCUCUAAGUCAGAACCCGUGCUAGAACGCGACUAUCACCGCCUUCUCUCCGAUUUUAUUUCAAAUAUUGAAAGAGAUAAAUCCAUUGUAGCCGACCUUAAUUGAAUGGGGUGUUGUAAGCAGUAGAGUAGCAUUGUUGCUACGAUCUGCUGAGAUUAAGCUCAUUGUUGUAUAGAUUU